rnacentral:rRNA from 1 species
AUGAGUUCUCUUCCAUGCGCUCACAAGAUCGAGCUGUGUGUUGGUGCCACCCCAGCGUUUUGGCCUGAUGCAUGCCGCUGCUGGGCAUGCAUCCUAUGGACAUCGCCUCUAAUCUGCAUGCCAUUUCCGUGCUCAAGGCAUGCCUUGAUGUUGUUUUUCCUUAUGUUCACUAGAGGGAGCAAUGUGGCCAGCGAAUUUCACAUUUUCUUCUCUGUUGAUAGCAGAACUCAAGUUGCAGUUGAUAUAAAGACCUUCAAUUCAUUCCAUAUAAAUUUGUCGCAUAUCUUGUUCCUUUUUAUUAAUUAUAUUUAUUUGGAAUUCGAUCAAGCAACCCAUUGUCUAUGUGGCAAUGGAUACAUAAAGAAGUACCCAACUGGUCUUUUCCUGAAAAAUGCAAACUGUUUGAGGUUGGAGCUGGCACUGUAG